UCCUUCUGCGUCAGGAUGAAGAAGAUG
rnacentral:piRNA from 1 species